UGCAAGUCGAACGGUAGAUUACUUUCGGGUAGUUGAGAGUGGCGAACGGGUGCGUAACGCGUAUGCAACCUACCCUAUACAGGGGGAUAGCCCGGAGAAAUCUGGAUUAAUACCCCAURGUACCAAGUUGAGGCAUUUUGAUUUGGUUAAAGAUUCAUCGGUAUAGGAUGGGCAUGCGUCUGAUUAGCUAGUUGGCGGUGUAACGGACCACCAAGGCUACGAUCAGUAGGGGUUCUGAGAGGAAGGUCCCCCACACUGGCACUGAGAUACGGGCCAGACUCCUACGGGAGGCAGCAGUAGGGAAUAUUGGGCAAUGGACGAGAGUCUGACCCAGCCAUGCCGCGUGCAGGAAGACGGCGUUCUGCGUUGUAAACUGCUUUUAUCUGGGAAGAAAAUGCCCCUGCGGGGGAAAUUGCCGGUACCAGAUGAAUAAGCACCGGCUAACUCCGUGCCAGCAGCCGCGGUAAUACGGAGGGUGCAAGCGUUGUCCGGAUUUAUUGGGUUUAAAGGGUGCGUAGGCGGCUGUUUAAGUCAGUGGUGAAAGACUCCGGCUCAACCGGAGCAGUGCCAUUGAUACUGGACAGCUUGAGUAUUGGAGGGGUACAUGGAAUUGAUGGUGUAGCGGUGAAAUGCAUAGAUACCAUCAGGAACACCGAUAGCGAAGGCAUUGUACUGGCCAAUAACUGACGCUGAUGCACGAAAGCAUGGGUAGCGAACAGGAUUAGAUACCCUGGUAGUCCAUGCCGUAAACGAUGAUUACUCGCUGUUAUGGCUUUAUGUUGUAGCGGC
rnacentral:rRNA from 1 species